rnacentral:lncRNA from 1 species
UAAGCAUUAAUGUCAACAACUACUAUCAUGGUUUGUGUGUGACGCUACCCGAGGGAUCCAGUGUAAGUGAUGAGAAGUUAUGGUACAGCUGGAGAGCUCUUAGUGGCGUAGAUGCCUCUAAUCUGCAUCACAGCAGCGAUUUUAUGAUAGAAAGCCCUGGAUAUCCAUUGUUGUUAUUUGAUUUGGUGCAUUUCAGCUGUUGAUUGAAAGGAGAGCCUAAACUGGGCUGCAAAUUGAGAAAGGGAAUUACGAAAUCCUGUUCCAAAAAUUAAAGAUCUGGUAGGGGCUGUGAGUAUUUUGCCAACAUUUCCCAAUAACUGGAUUAAUUACACGGUAGUGUCACUGAUGACACCCCCCCAGAAACAGCCUUACUGUGAACCAAGAUGAGAUGGCUGCCUUGUUGGGCAACCGAUUUAGGGCGCUGCGUGGAUUAUAAGGUUAGAGAUAGACCAAGCUAACUCUUGGGGCAAAAAAGACUGAGAGGUUCUCCUGAGUGAUCUCCACUGAAAUGAACAGGAACUUUGUGAUUGUUGAUGCCCUUGUUUGGUGCGUUGAAAAGGUGCCAUUUGGAUUUUCUGGCACCAAAAUGUAUCAAGGUACUAUCUAGGAUUUGCUACCAGUAAGCAGUUAAAACAUAAGCAAUGAUUGUCACUGUUGUUAGUGUGGUUUGCGCAUGGGAAGUGCUUGCUUGUAUUUGGCUAUCUGUAUUUGGAGUAUUUAUUUGAAAAUGGCAAUUGGAUCUCAGAAAUGUUGCCAACAUUUACUGAAUGCACCUAUUGGGUUGCAGUCACAAACAGGGUCCUGGUGGGAAAUCGCUGAACUGUCCAGGAAAAUCUGGACGUAUAGCACAACCCAUGUCAGAAGUCUAAAAAGAUCUCAACAACUUGGUCCCCCCCCCCAAAAAAAGAUCUCAACAACUUUUGUGUUUGUUUGUUCACUUUUUGAAAUAUGGCAACCCUAAUGUAUCCAACUAUGUUCUCCUAGAGUGGACUGGUUGAAAUUCACAGACCUAAGUUAGUUAUGCCCAUUAAUUUCAGUGGGUCUGCUCUGAGUCUGGCAAACACUGAAUGAAACCCACUGAAUGUUAAAAUUCUGAAUGUGUUUCUUACAAGGACUGGCUCCUGAAAGGUCAUGCUGUGGAGAUCAUGUGACCUAAAACGCUAGCUUGACAAACACGAUUUAUGGGUUAAACUUGAGCUGACAGCAGAGGCAGGUUUAGGGGAGCUUGACCAGUUUGGUCUCAGUGGGCCUGGAGCCUUGGGGGUGCUGUAACUAUGAAGUAGAAUGGGAGGCGAGAGGGCACCGAAUUUGGGUGUUGCACAGGUUGCCGUAGAACCUUGAGCUUCCCAGGUCUGCCACUGCUUUCAGACAAGGCCUCUGACACUGACAUGGUGAAGGGCAGCCAUCGCCCUGAAAAAGGUGUGAAACAAAUGUCUGAAAUUUUUGUGGCUAGAGAGCAGACGACUAUAUAGAGAAUAUAUGGAGAGCUCUUCCCACUGACUGGGCAGUGGCUUUACAGCCUUUAGAAACUAAGGGCUCCUCCAGACUUCUGUUUGUUCUGCCACUUUCCCCCAGGAAAACCCAAUGUUUACUGCUAAAUGGGAGCUAGUGUUAACUGGGCUUUCCACGGAUUGAUGUUUGUUCUGAUUCAGCGCUAAAGAGCAAGUUUUCCUGGGGAAAGUGGUGGGGCCCAUGCCUAGAAAGCAUGGGACAAGUGGGGAAACCCCCAGGACCCGUGCUUUCUGAGCACAGGAUGAGCAGAAGUGUGGACCAGUCCUUUAUCAAGCCAGAUCUCUGUUGUUUCCAAUAUGGUGAACGAGGCGACGAACAAAUCAGUUAGGGAUCCAAUUUUUACAAAUGCUGACUGACAAUCUUGUAUGGAGAAACAGGGCUGCAGAUUGUUUGUUUGUUUGUUUGUUUGUUUGUUUGUUUGUUUGUUUCUGGGGGGGGGGUCCCUCCCUUGAAAGAGGAAGAGAUAGAGAUGUGAAAUAUGUUGUUGAAUGGCCUGGGCUUCUUCCUCUAAAUUUCAGAUAUUGAACGUAUUCUUCAGAUCCCUGGUCCAAGAGCCCAAACAAACGGUACAAGCAGAUAUCGUGGGUAGCUUUGAGCACUAUUGACUCAAGGACUCCAUCUUCAAAGCACUAGGUAACUUUUGUGAGCUCAGAUAUCGUGGUGUCUCUUUAGACGUCUUCUGAGAUAUAUGCCCUGAAACUGUUAGGCGAGCCUGCCACCCAUAUACACCUCCUUUAUAGCCAGCAGGAAUUCCAUAUCCCAGAUGAACAAACACCUUUAAAAAAUUGCUUUCAUAGCCCAUUUCAUGAUUUCCACCCUCAAUUUGCAUGUAUUCUGGAUUUCUACCUUGUAAGCCAGGGAAACAUUUCCCAAGCUUGGAUCUGAAAAUAUGUUUUCCUUCUUUCUGCCAUUUGAACUAUUUGUGCUUUUUGUUUCAGGGGAUAGUCGCAUCAUGAGUCCGAGACAGAUUCUGAGCUGGGCAUCCUGCAACCUGCCCCUAAAUCCAGCCUUGCCUGUUUUCAUCUGGUGUGCAUCCUUUUCUCUGAGCACACCCCCUGAGGCCCCCAAACCAUCUUAGCACAGAUUUAUCAUACCACCUGGCUUUGGUGUGGAGGCGACGGUUCUCCCCCAAAUCAAAGCAAGCAUUGAACGAAACCCUCUCUUACCCCCAGCCUGGCAUGAAGCAAAAAAUAAAAUAAAAAUAAG